rnacentral:rRNA from 1 species
GACGAACGCUGGCGGCGUGCUUAACACAUGCAAGUCGAACGGAAAGGCCCUGCUUUUGUGGGGUGCUCGAGUGGCGAACGGGUGAGUAACACGUGAGUAACCUGCCCUUGACUUUGGGAUAACUUCAGGAAACUGGGGCUAAUACCGGAUAGGAGCUCCUGCUGCAUGGUGGGGGGUGGAAAGUUUCGGCGGUUGGGGAUGGACUCGCGGCUUAUCAGCUUGUUGGUGGGGUAGUGGCUUACCAAGGCUUUGACGGGUAGCCGGCCUGAGAGGGUGACCGGCCACAUUGGGACUGAGAUACGGCCCAGACUCGUACGGGAGGCAGAAGUGGGGAAUAUUGCACAAUGGGCGGAAGCCUGAUGCAGCAACGCCGCGUGCGGGAUGACGGCCUUCGGGUUGUAAACCGCUUUCGCCUGUGACGAAGCGUGAGUGACGGUAAUGGGUAAAGAAGCACCGGCUAACUACGUG